rnacentral:rRNA from 1 species
CGGCGGACGGGUGAGUAAUGCCUAGGAAUCUGCCUGGUAGUGGGGGACAACGUUUCGAAAGGAACGCUAAUACCGCAUACGUCCUACGGGAGAAAGCAGGGGACCUUCGGGCCUUGCGCUAUCAGAUGAGCCUAGGUCGGAUUAGCUAGUUGGUGAGGUAAUGGCUCACCAAGGCGACGAUCCGUAACUGGUCUGAGAGGAUGAUCAGUCACACUGGAACUGAGACACGGUCCAGACUCCUAGGGAGGCAGCAGNG